GGAGCCAGGUCAGAGAAAGCAUUGCAGCUUCCUCCUGGCUCUCCUCUCUUUUCCACUUGGAAGCCCUGAGCCAACAGGAAAGCAGUCUGGUCGUGCUGGGGAAUACCAGGGAGGGGAGACAGGGAAAGGUGCCGGAAGUUGCUACCGCGGCUCUCCCAGUAUUACCAGCCCAGCCACCAGACAUGUAAUCGAAGGAGGCUUUGCGACGCCCCAGCCGCAGUCUGACUGCAACCUGAAGAUGGACCCUGCCCAGUCACUGAUGCAAUGAAGUCUAGUCCCUCUGACAGAUGUGGCAAAGCAUUAUCAGGGUCAAAGUGAAGUUGUAAAUUAAAGGAAGAAACUGCGUCCCCUGGAUUUUAUUAAUCGCAGUCGUUUGGGGGAAGACAGGCAGCGCUCCUGGUGUUUCUAUUUGCAAUCGCUUAAACCCCUUUGGAGAGGUUUCUUCAGUGCGUGGCGCAACUUUUUGGAACUCUGGAGAACAUUCAGGAAAAGAGAGCACAAGUGAUAAAUAGUUUGGAAAUGAAGAUCAAAAAAAAAAAAAAAAAAAGAACAUUAGGAGCACUGGUAAUGUUUAGUCUAGAGGAAUGAAGAAGAAGCAGAGACAGAUUUUUCCCCCAACUGUCAUAAACAGGAUGAGGGCAAUUCUUUUUACCAAAGUGUAAAUAAAGAACAAGUGAAUAUCGGCAGAAAAAA